AUUGAAUGCUGGCGGCAGGCCUAACACAUGCAAGUCGAACGGCAACAGGAAACAGCUUGCUGUUUCGCUGACGAGUGGCGGACGGGUGAGUAAUGUCUGGGAAACUGCCUGAUGGAGGGGGAUAACUACUGGAAACGGUAGCUAAUACCGCAUAACGUCGCAAGACCAAAGAGGGGGACCUUCGGGCCUCUUGCCAUCGGAUGUGCCCAGAUGGGAUUAGCUAGUAGGUGGGGUAACGGCUCACCUAGGCGACGAUCCCUAGCUGGUCUGAGAGGAUGACCAGCCACACUGGAACUGAGACACGGUCCAGACUCCUACGGGAGGCAGCAGUGGGGAAUAUUGCACAAUGGGCGCAAGCCUGAUGCAGCCAUGCCGCGUGUAUGAAGAAGGCCUUCGGGUUGUAAAGUACUUUCAGCGGGGAGGAAGGGAGUAAAGUUAAUACCUUUACUCAUUGACGUUACCCGCAGAAGAAGCACCGGCUAACUCCGUG
rnacentral:rRNA from 1 species